CUCAACAGGAUGCUUUUGCAGCAGUCUCUGGUCCUCACCUCCUCUCUUGCCAUUAUUAUGAAUCAAUAUGAUUAGUGUUUUCAUCUUCCUGCCUUUCUUGCUUCUCUGGACUCCAGUUUUAACAGGAGAGAAUGGAGUCAGCCAAAACCCCAGCGUCGCCUGGCAUCUGAAAGGAGAAUCUGCUGAAAUGAAGUGCAGUCAUAAUAAAGGUGGAACCUAUAAUCAGAUGUACUGGUACAGACAGCGCCAAGGAGAGAGUAUGGAGCUCAUCGUGUACACCACAGCCAGUAGUGAACCGGAUUUUGGCUCGGUUGAUAAAAAUAAAUUUUCUACUGUUAAAAAAUUGCUGCAAAUGGAUCUCUAACUGUGAAGGAUCUGGAUACAGAGGACAGCGCUGUAUAUUUCUGUGCAGUAAGUGAACACAGUGUUACAGAUCACCUGCACUGCUGAACAAAAACACCUGCACUG